GGGGUUGUAGUUAAAAAUAAUAACAUUUAAUUUGCAAUUAAAAAUUACUAAAUUUUAUCUUAGUCAUCCUCA
rnacentral:tRNA from 1 species